UUGAACGCUGGCGGCAGGCCUAACACAUGCAAGUCGAACGGUAACAGGAAGCAGCUUGCUGCUUUGCUGACGAGUGGCGGACGGGUGAGUAAUGUCUGGGAAACUGCCUGAUGGAGGGGGAUAACUACUGGAAACGGUAGCUAAUACCGCAUAACGUCGCAAGACCAAAGAGGGGGACCUUCGGGCCUCUUGCCAUCGGAUGUGCCCAGAUGGGAUUAGCUUGUUGGUGGGGUAACGGCUCACCAAGGCGACGAUCCCUAGCUGGUCUGAGAGGAUGACCAGCCACACUGGAACUGAGACACGGUCCAGACUCCUACGGGAGGCAGCAGUGGGGAAUAUUGCACAAUGGGCGCAAGCCUGAUGCAGCCAUGCCGCGUGUAUGAAGAAGGCCUUCGGGUUGUAAAGUACUUUCAGCGGGGAGGAAGGGAGUAAAGUUAAUACCUUUACUCAUUGACGUUACCCGCAGAAGAAGCACCGGCUAACUCCGUGCCAGCAGCCGCGGUAAUACGGAGGGUGCAAGCGUUAAUCGGAAUUACUGGGCGUAAAGCGCACGCAGGCGGUUUGUUAAGUCAGAUGUGAAAUCCCCGGGCUCAACCUGGGAACUGCAUCUGAUACUGGCAAGCUUGAGUCUCGUAGAGGGGGGUAGAAUUCCAGGUGUAGCGGUGAAAUGCGUAGAGAUCUGGAGGAAUACCGGUGGCGAAGGCGGCCCCCUGGACGAAGACUGACGCUCAGGUGCGAAAGCGUGGGGAGCAAACAGGAUUAGAUACCCUGGUAGUCCACGCCGUAAACGAUGUCGACUUGGAGGUUGUGCCCUUGAGGCGUGGCUUCCGGAGCUAACGCGUUAAGUCGACCGCCUGGGGAGUACGGCCGCAAGGUUAAAACUCAAAUGAAUUGACGGGGGCCCGCACAAGCGGUGGAGCAUGUGGUUUAAUUCGAUGCAACGCGAAGAACCUUACCUGGUCUUGACAUCCACAGAACUUUCCAGAGAUGGAUUGGUGCCUUCGGGAACUGUGAGACAGGUGCUGCAUGGCUGUCGUCAGCUCGUGUUGUGAAAUGUUGGGUUAAGUCCCGCAACGAGCGCAACCCUUAUCCUUUGUUGCCAGCGGUCCGGCCGGGAACUCAAAGGAGACUGCCAGUGAUAAACUGGAGGAAGGUGGGGAUGACGUCAAGUCAUCAUGGCCCUUACGACCAGGGCUACACACGUGCUACAAUGGCGCAUACAAAGAGAAGCGACCUCGCGAGAGCAAGCGGACCUCAUAAAGUGCGUCGUAGUCCGGAUUGGAGUCUGCAACUCGACUCCAAGAAGUCGGAAUCGCUAGUAAUCGUGGAUCAGAAUGCCACGGUGAAUACGUUCCCGGGCCUUGUACACACCGCCCGUCACACCAUGGGAGUGGGUUGCAAAAGAAGUAGGUAGCUUAACCUUCGGGAGGGCGCUUACCACUUUGUGAUUCAUGACUGGGGUG
rnacentral:rRNA from 1 species